rnacentral:rRNA from 1 species
AUGAGCCAUCCAUCACAUGGUAGUGAGUGGAAAAGCUUCAACCAGAAACACAAAAAGUUUGCUGCUGACCCAAGAAACAUUAGACUUGGCUUAGCUUCAGAUGGAUUUAACCCAUUUGGCCACCAGAGCGCCACAUAUAGCAUGUGGCCAGUGCUUGUUAUCCCUUACAACAUGCCUCCAAAUGUCUGCACCAAAGAAUCAAACUACAUGACGGCCUUGCUCAUACCAGGUCCAAAAAGUCCUGGAAAUGAUUUUGAUUUAUUCAUGGAGCCUCUUGUGGAGGAACUUCAACAGCUAUGGAGGGAUGUUCUCACUCGAGACCUAUAUAGCUGCCCAGCAGCUGAUUUCUUUCUAUGUGCUAUUAUAAUUUGGUGCAUCCAUGAUUAUCCGACUUUGGACACUAUGUCAGGGUGA